AUUGAACGCUGGCGGCAGGCUUAACACAUGCAAGUCGAACGAGUGGCGGACGGGUGAGUAAUGCUUGGGAAUCUAGCUUAUGGAGGGGGAUAACUACGGGAAACUGUAGCUAAUACCGCGUACCAUAGGAUGAGCCCAAGUGGGAUUGGGUUGUUGGUGAGGAAAAGGCUCACCAAGCGGACGAUCUCUAGCUGGUCUGAGAGGAUGACCAGCCACUCGGGGAUUGAGACAGGGCCCAGACCCAGAGGGGGCGACGGUGUGGGGACUAUUGCGCAAGGGGGGCAACCUGACGCAGACGUGCCGUGUGAAUGAAGAGGGCUUUCGUGGUGUAAAGUUCUUUCGCUAGAGAGGCGUUAACGACAGAAGAAGCACCGGCUAACACGGUGCAAGCAGCCGCGUUAAUA
rnacentral:rRNA from 1 species